CGGCGGACGGCUGAGUAAUAUACAGGAACCUGCCCCUAGGUAGAGGAUAGUCCAGCGAAAGUUGGAGUAAUACUUUAUGGUCCCGCUCAACGCGCAAGCGCCUGAGCGGGUAAAGAGCUUAACCGCUCGCCAAGGGAUGGGCCUGUAUCCUAUCAGGUAGUUGGUAAGGUAAUGGCUUACCAAGCCUAUGACGGGUAGCUGAUCUUAGAGGAUGAUCAGCCAGAGGGGGACUGAGACACGGCCCCCACUCCUACGGGAGGCAGCAAUCAGGAAUAGUCGGCAAUGGACGAAAGUCUGACCGCGCGACGCCCCGUGUAGGAUUAAGCUUUUCGGAGUGUAAACUACUGUGGCAGGGGAAGAAGUCCCGAUGUAAGUCGGGAUUGACGGUACCCUGCUAGAAAGGAGCCGCUAACUGCGUGCCAGAAGCGUCGGUAAUACGUGGGCUCCAAGCAUUAUCCGGUUUUAUUGGGCGUAAAGGGUCGUGUAGGCGGCUUGAUAAGUUAUCUUUGAAAGUCCAAUGCUUAACAUUGAAAUUGGAGAUAAGACUGUCAAACUAGAGUUUUCUUUAGGGGGAUUGGAACUCAAGGAGGAGUAGUGAAAUGCGUUGAUAUCUUGGGGAACACCGAUGGCGAAGGCAAGUCUCUGGGAGAAAACUGACGCUGAGACACGAAAGCUAGGGGAGCGAAGCAGAUUAGAGACCUGCGUAGUCCUAGCUCUAAACGAAUGUCUGCUACCUGCAUGAUUUUGUAUUUAUACAAUUUCGUGUGGGAAAGGUAACCUGUUAAGCAGACCGCCUGGGGAGUACGACCGCAAGGUUAAAACUCAAGGGAUUGGCGGGGAGGCACACACCAGUGACAUGUGGUUCAUUCG
rnacentral:rRNA from 1 species